CAUUCAGUAGCUUGCUACUGUUAGGGGGGUCCAUUAGUCUGUAUAGUAUCACUACUGAUGAGCAGCACGACUCCCCUGUCUAUACCCUUGUCUUUUGCGCACUCAUGUUUCCUCGGCGGCUUGACACCCGCCGGCUGGAUCAAUCUAUAACCUUUUUAAUUUUCAAUCAGCGUCUGAAAAACCUAAUAAUUA
rnacentral:misc_RNA from 1 species